rnacentral:rRNA from 1 species
AUACGGAGGGAGCAAGCGUUAUUCGGAAUCACUGGGCGUAAAGGACGCGUAGGCGGGUUUGUAAGUCAGGUGUGAAAUCCUACAGCUCAACUGUAGAACUGCACUUGAAACUACAGACCUAGAGUAUGGAAGGGGCAGAUGGAAUUAGUGGUGUAGGGGUAAAAUCCGUAGAUAUCACUAGGAAUACCGAAAGCGAAGGCGAUCUGCUGGGACAUUACUGACGCUGAGGCGUGAGAGCGUGGGGAGCAAACAGGAUUAGAAACCCCAGUAGUCC